UUUUUUUUUCCUAACCCAAUUUUACCCCUACCAAGUACCAACUCUUUUUCUUCGCAUAUUUCUCAAAUCCUAACCCCGGCCAUCAUCAUCCUUCUUCUCCUUGUCCUUGAUCAUCCAUCAUGACAACAGAUGCAACCGCGAUCGGUUCGUAUUCGGUGUGGGCCAUUCCACCGGAUGACGUGUCCGAUCGGAUCAAGAAGGUGAUGUUGGGCCUCCGGGACGAGUUCGGCGGGGCACCGGAGGAGAUCGAGCCCCAUUUUCCGAUCGUGGGGUCCAUCCGUAUGACGAGGGAGGACGCGCUCAACAAGUUGAGGACCCUUAUUCAGUCCUACCCGCCUGGUUGUAUCUCUGCCUUCACUGCUCGAGUAGAUGAAAUCGUUGCUCGCCCCUUCUAUUACCAGUGCGUUUGCCUCCGCAUCCAUUAUUCCCACCAGUUAAAAGAAAUAUCUAGAUGCUGCUCUCAUAAAUGGGGUUUACGUUUCCCUGGUGUGCCUUAUUUGAGCCUCCUUUACGGUAAGCUGACAGAAGAGGAGAGGAAGAAAGCUCGAGAUAAAGUUAGUGUUUUGGAUGAGACCAUUACUAGCCUGAGCUUCCCCGUAACUCGCCUUGCAUUGUACAAAAUCAACUACAAAGACAAAACUCUCAAAUCUUGGGAAAAGAUAGCUGAGCUUCCCCUCCAAUUAAAUUAGCUCUGCCGAUCCACCCUUGUAAUAAGACUGAAUUUGUCUCAGUAUCCCUCCUGAAGAUGUGCACGACUGCGUGGAAGAAGAUUGCCCCAUUGGCUCCUGUCUUUGAGAGGAGAUCGCUUGAUCAAACUGUAAGAAUAUAAACUGCUUGAAUUGAGACUUAUUUUCUGGAUAUCAGUGAUUCACACAUGAAGAAUUUAGUGUUUUAAUUGAGACUAAUUUUCUGGAGGCCUUAUUUGUUCUGUUUAUGAUGGAAUAAGACAGUACCCAACUAAUACUUGUUUAUUUAAAUAAACUAAAAGAUACAUGGAUUAAUAGAAGAGUGAUUAUUAAAAGAAUAGUGGGAGAUCGAGAAUACCUCUUGAGAAUAAUUGCACAAGAGUUACGGUUGGAAUGAGUCAUCGUUGAGGUUAAGGUUUAUAAUCCAUCUUUUAAUUUGCUUUUCCGUGUUUUCAAUUAUCACUGUGAAACUUUACAAAAAGUUGGCUGACAUUGCGAAAUUAGUGAAAAUUAUAAAACUCUAUGAUUAUUGGUAAAGUGUCAUGACUGAAUCCAGCAGGAACAUUUCUCCUUUACGAGGUCAUGAACUCCGUUCAUCACAAUGACAAUCAGUGUCUGUCAAGGGAAGUUUUGAAUGCAGCGAUGGGGAAGACUGGUAGUUUUGAUGAGGACUCACAAUUCAAAAGAUUCGAAAUAACUUCAUGUUUUGGAGGGGAGACUUCCUAUGAUGAGGCCUCCUCAGACUACAGUCCCUCUUCUGGCAUUCCCACUCUCAAGUGCUAUUGAAAUUCACUCCAUGGUACUAGUAGAUGGUCGUGGCAUUGAGAUUGGUGCUGUUUUUAGAGAUUGGACUCAUCUACGCACAUAGGCAUCUGUGUGAAUUCGCCGGUCUUGAUAAUGAAAUGGGGUCCUGGAGCUCAUAUAUGAGGCAUCUACCAUAUGAACGUAUGCUAAUUUUAAAUAGCUGGCGCUCCAUUAUUUCCAUUUAUGAAACAAGAGGUGAUUUCCCAGAGAAGCCUGUUUGGUAUGCAGUGCAAUUCUCAGCUCUAAAGGCCGGACCAAGUCAACAACAGUAAAACACAUCCAAUAUCCUGAGGUCUAAACUGAAUUGUUUGAUGAUUUUUUUGACCCAUGGAUGUGAAGCAGAUGAAAACCAUUAAUGUCUUGUUUUGAUAUCGUUGUUUGAGCUAAAUCAUCAAUGGUUUUAUCACUAUGUUGUUUCAUUUAUAUCCUGAAUGAUUUUGGCCAUACCUCUUUCAUACAAGGAGAUCAUAGCUUUUGACAAAAGAAGUUUUUCAU